UACGAAGGGGGCUAGCGUUGUUCGGAUUUACUGGGCGUAAAGCGCACGUAGGCGGAUAUUUAAGUCAGGGGUGAAAUCCCGGGGCUCAACCCCGGAACUGCCUUUGAUACUGGGUAUCUUUGAGUCCGGAAGAGGUGAGUGGAAUUCCGAGUGUAGAGGUGAAAUUCGUAGAUAUUCGGAGGAACACCAGUGGCGAAGGCGGCUCACUGGUCCGGUACUGACGCUGAGGUGCGAAAGCGUGGGGAGCAAACAGGG
rnacentral:rRNA from 1 species